rnacentral:rRNA from 1 species
UACGAGGAAUGCAAGCGUUAUCCGGAAUUAUUGGGCGUAAAGCGUUUGUAGGCGGGCGAGUGUGUUUAAUGUUAAAUCUUAAAGCUCAACUUUGAAAUUGCGUUAAAAACUGCUUGUCUUGAGUAUGGUAGGGGUAAAGGGAAUUCCCAGUGUAGCGGUGAAAUGCGUAGAUAUUGGGAAGAACACUAAACAGCGAAGGCACUUUACUAGGCUAAUACUGACGCUGAGAAACGAAAGGUAAGGUAGCGAAACGGAUUAGAUACCCGUGUAGUCUUACCCGUAAACUAUGGACACUAAACGGUAAAUUUUUAAUUUACUGUUAAAGCUAACGCGUUAAGUGUCCCGCCUGGGGAGUAUGCUUGCAAAAGUGAAACUCAAAGGAAUUGACGGGGGCCCGCACAAGCGGUGGAGCAUGUGGUUUAAUUCGACGGUACACGAAGAACCUUACCAGGAUUUGACAUGCUAGAUAGUUGCUUGAAAGAGUAACGUGCCGUAAGGAAUCUAGACACAGGUGGUGCAUGGCUGUCGUCAGUUCGUGUUGUGAAAUGUUGGGUUAAGUCCCGCAACGAACGCAACCCUUGUCUUUAGUUAUUUUCUAAAGAGACUGCCUGUAAUAAACAGGAGGAAGGUAAGGAUGAGGUCAAGUCAUCAUGCCCCUUAUGUCCUGGGCUACACACGUGCUACAAUGGGAAAGACAAUGAGCUGCAAAUCUGUAAAUUUAAGCAAAUCUCUUAAACUUUCUCGUAGUUCGGAUUGUGGGCUGCAACUCGCCCACAUGAAGUUGGAAUCGCUAGUAAUCGCCAGUCAGCUAUAUGGCGGUGAAUCCGUUCCCGGGCCU